CUGAUAUUGAGGUGCCCCGAUGAGCAGGGUGGCAGCUCCCUUGUAGCUGGUGAAGACGUUCCUGCUGACUUCGUCUUGCUGGAGGAAACCUUGACCAGUCGCUCAGUUCUCACAAGAGGAACUUGUGUGACCGGUAAGUUUUACGUUUACUUCAACACCAGACUGUAUCGAUAUAGAGACUUCCGCAGGCUGCUCGCAAGAUUCUUCCGACAGCAGUGUCCGAGGCGCUGAACAAGCUUCACAAGACUGUACUGAAGACGUGUCCGCCAACAGCUCCACGCCUGAAUGCCCUACAGCCAAUGUGAUUUCCUGUGUGCCAGAGACAAGGUCUCCAUCACAGAAGUACAAGCAAACCAUUGAACGUCGGCAAACCAAAGUAGCAGCACAGCGAAAAACUAUCAAAAGACUGCAGAGACAGCCUCACCAAGCACCGUCAUCGACUUCAAAGGCCCUUGGCAUUAUCCAACUGCACGUCACCGAGGAGCUUUUUAAACUUGUUUCUGCACAUGUUCGCUUGAGGGCCAAAGGCAAGGGCAAGCGGUGUGGUUCAAGAAAUUCGCUCUUCACUUAAACUUCCGUGGUCCGCGAGAAUACCGAUUUCUGGCUCCAUAUUUUUCUUUGCCCUCCCGGCGUUCAUUGAGGAGGUGGCUAGCUA